AGCGCAGGCGGGAAACUAAGCGGAUCUUAAAAAGUGCGGGGCUCAACCCCGUGAUGGGGUCCGAACUGGUUUUCUUGAGUGCAGGAGAGGAAAGCGGAAUUCCCAGUGUAGCGGUGAAAUGCGUAGAUAUUGGGAAGAACACCAGUGGCGAAGGCGGCUUUCUGGACUGUAACUGACGCUGAGGCUCGAAAGCUAGGGUAGCGAAG
rnacentral:rRNA from 1 species